CUAGACUGAAACUCCUUGAGGA
rnacentral:miRNA from 1 species